AGUGAACGCUGGCGGUAGGCCUAACACAUGCAAGUCGAACGGCAGCACAGUAAGAGCUUGCUCUUACGGGUGGCGAGUGGCGGACGGGUGAGGAAUACAUCGGAAUCUACUUUUUCGUGGGGGAUAACGUAGGGAAACUUACGCUAAUACCGCAUACGACCUACGGGUGAAAGCAGGGGAUCUUCGGACCUUGCGCGAUUGAAUGAGCCGAUGUCGGAUUGGCUAGUUGGCGGGGUAAAGGCCCACCAAGGCGACGAUCCGCAGCUGGUCUGAGAGGAUGAUCAGCCACACUGGAACUGAGACACGGUCCAGACUCCUACGGGAGGCAGCAGUGGGGAAUAUUGGACAAUGGGCGCAAGCCUGAUCCAGCCAUACCGCGUGGGUGAAGAAGGCCUUCGGGUUGUAAAGCCCUUUUGUUGGGAAAGAAAAGCAGCAGGUUAAUACCCCGCUGUUCUGACGGUACCCAAAGAAUAAGCACCGGCUAACUUCGUG
rnacentral:rRNA from 1 species